rnacentral:rRNA from 1 species
CAAUAGCGUAUAUUAAAGUUGUUGCGGUAAAAAAGCUCGUAGUUGGAUUUCUACCGAAGAUAGCCGGUCGGGUCUUCGACCUUGUAUCUGGUUUUGUCUUUGGUAUCCUCAUAGGGAACGUUUCUGCGCUUUAUUGCGUGGUGCGGUAUCUAUGACUUUUACUUUGAGGAAAUUAGAGUGUUCACGGCAGGCAAACGCCUUGAAUAUAUUAGCAUGGAAUAAUAACAUAGGAUCUUCGUCCUAUUUUGUUGGUUUCUAGGGCUAAGAUAAUGAUUAAUAGGGAUAAUUGGGGGCAUCUGUAUCAACGCGUCAGAGGUGGAAUUCUUGGAUUGCGUUGUGACAAACUACUGCGAAAGCAUUUGCCAAGGAUGUUUUCAUUGA